UUAACACGUAAGCAACCUGCCCUCACGACUGGGAUAACUACCGGAAACGGUUGGGAUACCGGAUAAUUUAUUUCAGAUCAUUGUGGAAUAAUGAAAGACGGAGCAGUCUGUCACUUGGGGAUGGGCCUGCGGCGCAUUAUCUACUUGGUGGGGUAAUGGCUCACCAAGGACAAAAUGCGUACCCGACCUGAGAGGGUGAACGGCCACACUGGGACUGAGACAUGCCCAGACUCCUACGGGAGGCAGCAGUAGGGAAUCUUCCGCAAUGGGCGAAAGCCUGACGGAGCAACGCCGCGUGAGUGAUGAAGGUUUUCGGAUCGUAAAGCUCUGUUGCCAAGGAAGAACGUCUUCUAUAGUAACUGCUAGGAUAGUGACGGUACUUGUUAAGAAAGCCCCGGCUAACUACGUGCCAUCAGCGCGGUAGUACGUAAGGGGCAAGCGUUGUCCGGAAUUAUUGGGCGUAAAGCGCGCGCAGGCGGUUCUUUAAGUCUGGUGUUUAAACCCGAGGCUCAACUUCAGGUCGCACUGGAAACUGGAGGACUUGAGUGCAGAGGAGGACAGUGGAAUUCCACUUGUACCGAUGAAAUGCGUAGAUAUGUGCAGGAACACCAAUGGCCAAUGCUACUCUCUGGGCUGUAACU
rnacentral:rRNA from 1 species